rnacentral:lncRNA from 1 species
ACAUCAUUGUGGGUUUGGGUUACCUGGUCUAUCAGUCAGCUCGGGCUGACAUAACAAAAUACCGCAGACGGUCGGUUUAAACAACAGAAACUUACUUCUCACAGUUCUGGAGGCUGGAAGUCCAGGCCAAGGUGCCGGCAAGUUGUACAGAAUUGGUACUACAAGCACACCUCGGAGAUAUUGCAGGUUUCCAGACCACCACAAUAAAACGAAUAUCACAAUAAAGGGAGUCACAAAUCUUUUGGUUUCCCUGUGUAUAAAAGUUAUGUUUACACUGUACCGUAGUCUAUUAAGUG